rnacentral:rRNA from 1 species
CGCGCAGGCGGCCUUUUAAGUCUGAUGUGAAAGCCCCCGGCUCAACCGGGGAGGGCCAUUGGAAACUGGAAGGCUUGAGUACAGAAGAGAAGAGUGGAAUUCCACGUGUAGCGGUGAAAUGCGUAGAGAUUGGGAGGAACACCAGUGGCGAAGGCGACUUACUGGACUGUAACUGACGCUGAGGCGCGAAAGUGUGGGGAGCAAACAGGAUUAGAUACCCCCGUA